UUAUCCCUGCUUGACACCUUUAUCCCUAGAUAUUCCACUAAAAACCAAAAGCAAGGAUAAAGCGAUUCCACUAUGAGAAUGUAUUAUUUGUGCACUACUGCAAUAGUCUAAAUAUCAACCUAGUGAACAUAUUCCUCCCAAUCUGUGGGUUUCCUGCUAACGCAUUUGGGUCACUGUUGCUGCGUGCUAUCAUUGCUAGUCGUAAGUUGGAACUGUAAUUGCAGGAUGAACAACUAAUAUUAUGAGAGAUAAAUA
rnacentral:lncRNA from 1 species